rnacentral:rRNA from 1 species
GAUGAACGCUGGCGGCGUGCCUAAUACAUGCAAGUCGAGCGAAUGGAUUAAGAGCUUGCUCUUAUGAAGUUAGCGGCGGACGGGUGAGUAACACGUGGGUAACCUGCCCAUAAGACUGGGAUAACUCCGGGAAACCGGGGCUAAUACCGGAUAACAUUUUGAACCGCAUGGUUCGAAAUUGAAAGGCGGCUUCGGCUGUCACUUAUGGAUGGACCCGCGUCGCAUUAGCUAGUUGGUGAGGUAACGGCUCACCAAGGCAACGAUGCGUAGCCGAGCUGAGAGGGUGAUCGGCCACACUGGGACUGAGACACGGCCCAGACUCCUACGGGAGGCAGCAGUAGGGAAUCUUCCGCAAUGGACGAAAGUCUGACGGAGCAACGCCGCGUGAGUGAUGAAGGCUUUCGGGUCGUAAAACUCUGUUGUUAGGGAAGAACAAGUGCUAGUUGAAUAAGCUGGCAUCUUGACGGUACCUAACCAGAAAGCCACGGCUAACUACGUGCCAGCAGCCGCCGUAA